UACGGGGGGAGCAAGCGUUGUUCGGAUUUACUGGGCGUAAAGCGCACGCAGGCGGAUGAUUAAGUCAGCUGUGAAAGCUCCCGGCUCAACUGGGAAGGGUCGGCUGAAACUGGUCGUCUGGAGGGCAACAGAGGAGUGUAGAAUUGCGGGUGUAGUGGUGAAAUGCGUAGAUAUCCGCAGGAAUACCAGUGGCGAAGGCGGCACUCUGGGUUGUACCUGACGCUGAUGUGCGAAGGCUAGGGGAGCGAACAGG
rnacentral:rRNA from 1 species